GUUUGCAUCCAAGAGAGGGGAGGACAGGGGCAAAAGGAUGCAGGGAGGCUGCUGAUUUCCACUGAAGAGCUAAUUUCCUGUGAGACAUUAACAGUGAUUUAAGAAAAAGAUUCCUGUAACUGGUAAGGAAACUGAGGUAUACAAGGAUGAACUUUUGCAAGGCUACAAAUCUUGUUAAUAGUGAAGCUAACGUUCAGACCCAAGUGGUUCGGCUCUAGACUUUGUCUCAGUUACUGAAUUGAACUCUCUGUGCACUUACGAUGUGUCAUACCAGUUCUCACUACAUAGUGUCCCAAAAGAUUGGGCCUGCUCUUUCUUUCAGAGACAAUUAGGAAAAAAGUAAACAAACGGAGCAGGAUUUGGGCAUAACAGCAUGCUCCUCCCAUCCCCCAAAUCCCAGGAGUGUCACUGAGUAAUGUCUUACAAUAACAGAAUGCAGGAGAGCACAUAUCAAUGAAGAAAAGACAAAAUGUACUUAUCCAUGAAGCUGAGGUUAAGAAACCAGUGUCUUCAAGAGCCAGGGACAGCACUGGGUCUGUGCAGAGUUGAGAGAUGGUGAUGACAUGUGGUUUCCAGCAUUCCUCACCCAGUCCAGGGACACUGUGGGUGUGCCCAGCUUAAGUCCAGUAACUGGAAAUACAAGCCCAAGUUCUGGAGAGUUUGAGCUGCAG
rnacentral:lncRNA from 10 species